rnacentral:rRNA from 1 species
GACGAACGCUGGCGGCGUGCUUAACACAUGCAAGUCGAACGGAAAGGCCCUGCUUGCAGGGUACUCGAGUGGCGAACGGGUGAGUAACACGUGGGUGAUCUGCCCUGCACUUCGGGAUAAGCCUGGGAAACUGGGUCUAAUACCGGAUAGGAGCCAUUUUUAGUGUGAUGGUUGGAAAGUUUUUUUCGGUGUAGGAUGAGCUCGCGGCCUAUCAGCUUGUUGGUGGGGUAAUGGCCUACCAAGGCGGCGACGGGUAGCCGGCCUGAGAGGGUGGACGGCCACAUUGGGACUGAGAGACGGCCCAGACUCCGACGGGAGGCAGCAGUGGGGAAUAUUGCACAAUGGGCGCAAGCCUGAUGCAGAGACGCCGCGGGGGGGAUGACGGCCUUCGGGUUGUAAACUCAUUUCGCUAGGGACGAAGCUUUUUGUGACGGUACCUAGAUAAGAAGCACCGGCUAACUACGUG